UUCAUCUCCUCCAUUAUUUCCCCCUCUUCCUCUCCUAGCUCCACUCAUCUAAUGUAAACAAAUCCUCGCAUUGAUUCUUUCAGUGGUUCGGUUCGUCUCCCCUCAAUCAAUAAAAUCUCUGCCUCAACUAUAACAAGUCACCGACAAAGAUGACGGAACUGCCGUUCCAUAUCGCGCCGCCGCCAGCCAAACCUUCGCGGGCCAUCUCCACCGGAGAACGGCGUGAUGCUGACCCGGAGUCCAGUGAUUGACACCGUCGCACGGCCGAACUGUACCGGAGGACCAGCUGAGCUGCACCAGAUCACACCCCAGUAGAGAACUGCGCUGCAACAUCCGCUCCCUCGUGCGCAUCAUCCCACGGAUCCAGCGGCCGGGGACGCGAUGCUACGUCGGGGUGCUCGCCGAUCGGGCCGGCGGCUGCAUCGCGGAUGGAUCGGCUGACCUCGCCGGCGUCAAGGUGUGGGCACGGGCCCAAGACUCACGCCCCGGCAUCGAAUCUGGCACCCAACGAGGCACACUUCCCAACGCUGACAUCCUCCUCCAACAUCACUUCGGCCAGAGGAAGCUUUGUUCAUCUCCAGCCGUCCCCAUUGCAUCAAGUCCGGUAGGCCUCUCUACCUCUCAUGUUAAUUAGUGUAGUACAAAUAGCUGCAGUCAUGGUCCAUACUAUCAACUAUGCCCAACUACCAUCCUGCAUCUCUCUCUCUCUCUCUCUCUCUCUCUCUCUCUCUCAUGUUAGUUUAGUACAGAUUUUAUUGGUAUUUUAAUCCUUUUCUCUGGUUGUUUUGUAUGGUCAGAGCAUAUUCAAGUUCAUUUUCAGGUAUGUUGUUCCCUGGUACGUAGUACUAUUCCACUGAACGGCAUGGGAUCGAUCUAACACCCGAGUGAUGAAAUAUUUUGAUUGAGAUUUGUGUUCUUCCCCUACUGCAAGGUUUUAUUCAUCUACUUGCAUAAAUGAAACAAAAUAUGAAGUGACUCUUAUGAACAUACUUGAAUUCUCUCUGGGACUGAAGAUAACUGUACAUGCUUGCCUUGAGUUACUUUGAUGUCCUAUUGAAGUGGAGAAUGCAGUUUCUUUUGGAUACGUCUCAUCCUGGAUGUGUUUGUUUAGCCAGCAUACUCCCUGGAUAUACUAAUGUGAUGACAAAUAAGGGUGCUGAUGUGUUUCUGCUUUGUAGGCAGGUGCUACGAUUUUUUAAUCUAUACUAGAAUCGGAACUGAUGUUCAGUGUUCAACCAUGCAUGUGUACUUACAAUAAAACAAUCUUCUCUAAAUUAAGCACAUGGACAUUAUCUGUUCAAACCUAAAGCUUCACUUGAUAAAUGUAAGCGUCUAAUUAAAUAGUGGCUUGCCAAUUAUUCAAUCAAAAUGUUGAAUUUAGAUCUUAGUAAUGAAUAGCCCUUUUCUUUAGUUUGAAUAUCAUUAUUUGAUUGUUCUGAUGUAAAUUACAACUUGAGCCUAAAUGUAUAUAUGUCCUUGCUGAGAGGAUCAAACGAAACCUGUUUUGAUUGUCCUUCUGUUUUAUUGUUCUAUGUUUGUUUGCAUCCUCUUAAACAUAAUGCAAUAAAAAUAGAGUUUGUGUGUUGUCAUA